GGGUCAGAGACUCUGACUUAGAU
rnacentral:snRNA from 1 species